rnacentral:rRNA from 1 species
UACGGUGCUGAAGCAACAAAUGCCCUGCUUCCAGGAAAAGCCUCUAAGCAUCAGGUAACAUCAAAUCGUACCCCAAACCGACACAGGUGGUCAGGUAGAGAAUACCAAGGCGCUUGAGAGAACUCGGGUGAAGGAACUAGGCAAAAUGGUGCCGUAACUUCGGGAGAAGGCACGCUGAUAUGUAGGUGAAGUCCCUCGCGGAUGGAGCUGAAAUCAGUCGAAGAUACCAGCUGGCUGCAACUGUUUAUUAAAAACACAGCACUGUGCAAACACGAAAGUGGACGUAUACGGUGUGACGCCUGCCCGGUGCCGGAAGGUUAAUUGAUGGGGUCAGCGCAAGCGAAGCUCUUGAUCGAAGCCCCGGUAAACGGCGGCCGUAACUAUAACGGUCCUAAGGUAGCGAAAUUCCUUGUCGGGUAAGUUCCGACCUGCACGAAUGGCGUAAUGAUGGCCAGGCUGUCUCCACCCGAGACUCAGUGAAAUUGAACUCGCUGUGAAGAUGCAGUGUACCCGCGGCAAGACGGAAAGACCCCGUGAACCUUUACUAUAGCUUGACACUGAACAUUGAGCCUUGAUGUGUAGGAUAGGUGGGAGGCUUAGAAGUGUGGACGCCAGUCUGCAUGGAGCCGACCUUGAAAUACCACCCUUUAAUGUUUGAUGUUCUAACGUUGACCCGUAAUCCGGGUUGCGGACAGUGUCUGGUGGGUAGUUUGACUGGGGCGGUCUCCUCCUAAAGAGUAACGGAGGAGCACGAAGGUUGGCUAAUCCUGGUCGGACAUCAGGAGGUUAGUGCAAUGGCAUAAGCCAGCUUGACUGCGAGCGUGACGGCGCGAGCAGGUGCGAAAGCAGGUCAUAGUGAUCCGGUGGUUCUGAAUGGAAGGGCCAUCGCUCAACGGAUAAAAGGUACUCCGGGGAUAACAGGCUGAUACCGCCCAAGAGUUCAUAUCGACGGCGGUGUUUGGCACCUCGAUGUCGGCUCAUCACAUCCUGGGGCUGAAGUAGGUCCCAAGGGUAUGGCUGUUCGCCAUUUAAAGUGGUACGCGAGCUGGGUUUAGAACGUCGUGAGACAGUUCGGUCCCUAUCUGCCGUGGGCGCUGGAGAACUGAGGGGGGCUGCUCCUAGUACGAGAGGACCGGAGUGGACGCAUCACUGGUGUUCGGGUUGUCAUGCCAAUGGCACUGCCCGGUAGCUAAAUGCGGAAGAGAUAAGUGCUGAAAGCAUCUAAGCACGAAACUUGCCCCGAGAUGAGUUCUCCCUGACUCCUUGAGAGUCCUGAAGGAACGUUGAAGACGACGACGUUGAUAGGCCGGGUGUGUAAGCGCAGCGAUGCGUUGAGCUAACCGGUACUAAUGAACCGUGAGG